rnacentral:rRNA from 1 species
AAUGGGGGAAACCCUGAAGCAGCAACGCCGCGUGAAGGAUGAAGGGCUUUUGCUUGUAAACUUCUGUAGUGAGGGAAAAAACUUCCACUCUGUGGAAUAUGAUGGUACCUCAAAAGUAAGCCCCGGCUAACUACGUGCCAGCAGCCGCGGUAAUACGUAGGGGGCAAACGUUGUCCGGAUUUACUGGGUGUAAAGGGUGCUCAGGCGGUUUUGUAAGUCAGAAGUGAAAUCCUAGAGCUUAACUCUGGAACUGCUUUUGAUACUGCAAGGCUUGAAUGUGGAAGAGGAGGAUGGAAUUUCUGGUGUAGCAGUGAAAUGCGUAGAUAUCAGAAAGAACACCAGUGGCGAAGGCGGUCCUCUGGUCCACUAUUGACGCUAAAGCACGAAAGCGUGGGGAGCAAA